UCCCUUGUAGCAUAGUCGGUAAAGAAUCUGCCUGCAAUGUAGGAGACUCAGGUUCGAUUCCUGGGUGGGAA
rnacentral:tRNA from 1 species